AUUGAACGCUGGCGGCAUGCUUUACACAUGCAAGUCGAACGGUAACAGGCCUUCGGGUGCUGACGAGUGGCGAACGGGUGAGUAAUGCAUCGGAACGUACCCAGAGGUGGGGGAUAACGCAGCGAAAGCUGUGCUAAUACCGCAUGCGAUCUGAGGAUGAAAGCGGGGGACCGAGCAGCAAUGUUUGGCCUCGCGCCUUUGGAGCGGCCGAUGUCGGAUUAGCUAGUUGGUGGGGUAAAGGCCUACCAAGGCGACGAUCCGUAGCUGGUCUGAGAGGACGACCAGCCACACUGGGACUGAGACACGGCCCAGACUCCUACGGGAGGCAGCAGUGGGGAAUUUUGGACAAUGGGCGCAAGCCUGAUCCAGCAAUGCCGCGUGCGGGAAGAAGGCCUUCGGGUUGUAAACCGCUUUUGGCAGGAACGAAACGGUGUCCGCUAAUACCGGGCGCUAAUGACGGUACCUGCAGAAUAAGCACCGGCUAACUACGUG
rnacentral:rRNA from 1 species